UACGGGGGGAGCAAGCGUUGUUCGGAUUUACUGGGCGUAAAGGGCGCGUAGGCGGCCUUCUAAGUCGAACGUGAAAUCCCCGGGCUCAACCCGGGAACUGCGUCCGAUACUGGAAGGCUUGAAUCCGGGAGAGGGAUGCGGAAUUCCUGGUGUAGCGGUGAAACGCGCAGAUAUCAGGAGGAACACCGGUGGCGAAGGCGGGUCUCUGGGCAAUAACUGACGCUGAGGAGCGAAAGCGUGGGGAGCGAACAGG
rnacentral:rRNA from 1 species